AUACGGAGGGUGCAAGCGUUGUUCGGAUUCACUGGGUAUAAAGGGUGCGCAGGCGGUCUGAUAAGUCAGAGGUGAAAUAUGUCGGCUCAACCGGCAAACGGCCCCUGAAACUGCCAGACUUGAGUCCGGGAGAGGUAGGUGGAAUUCCAGGUGUAGCGGUGAAAUGCGUAAAUAUCUGGAGGAACACCGGUGGCGAAGGCGGCCUACUGGCCCGGAACUGACGCUCAGGCACGAAAGCAUGGGGAGCGAACGGGAUUAGAAACCCCAGUAGUCC
rnacentral:rRNA from 1 species